ACGCUCGACACCUACGGGGGCAGCAGUUGGGAAUAUUGGACAAUGGAGGAAACUCUGAUCCAGUGACGCCGCGUGAAGGAAGAAGGUCUUCGGAUUGUAAACUUAUUUUGUCAGGGAAGAAAAAUGACUGUACCUGAAGAAAAAGCACCGGCUAACUACGUGCCAGCAGCCGACGGUAAUCUGAGCGGGCUGGCAAGGC
rnacentral:rRNA from 1 species